AAAUACAUGAAAGAAUAAGGAAUAUUACAUAGAAGGAGACGCCAAGGCCUGCAGACGCCUGCAGGACAACCUCGGGUUGCCUGAUGAACAAAAAACAGCAAUCUCACUGCAGUCCAAAGUCUACAGCACUGGGAUCUGCACAAAAGAGUGCAGAGUGUAGUAUCAGCACAACCGACCCCAUGUGCUAGUAACUGCUAGCCUAACCUCGACGAAGUAGUGACGAGGCUAGGACCAGACUACCAAAUAAACCUGUGCAAUAUAGCGUAUAAAAACAAUAGGAAGCAGAUAACAAUGAUGGCAACAAUGAUCAACCAGUGAUAUAAAUAGCAGGCAAUAAGAACACCAUAAAUGUUUCUCAACAAAUAAUAAAUACAAGUCAAUCAAUUAAUCAAGUCUUUCAAAUAUAAAUCUUUCAAAUAAGCAUCUUUCGAAUAUAAUUCUUUCGAGUAAAGGUCACUUUGUGACGCUUCAUUUCAUAAUCAUAAAUAAUAUAGGUCGCAGCUCACUUUCAUAUUUUCACGGCACCUCGUGCCCAUAUAUUUUUGUCUCACAUUGCACAACUAUAUUCUCAUGUUACUCAGUUCAUAGGUUCCAUAACCCAAUACAAUUAAGAAUGUUCAAGGAGCCUCAUUCACUUAACAUAAAGUAGAGUACAACUUCCAACCCAAUUAGGAAAUCAACAAGAAAACAUGAAGUUAUUUUUAGAAAUCAUUUGAUAAAGAAAAUACCCUUUUCAAUUAAAGUGUAAUAUCGAAUGAAUCAUUACCUUUAAUACAAAAAAUCAAUAAAUCAAAACAUGGUAGAAAUUCCUUUUUAAGUAAAGUACUACCUCAAACGGUUUAAGGAAAAUUUAGUUGAGAAAUAAAUUGAGUUAAAAAUGUAACAAUUGUUGAAAUUUGAAGUAUUGAACAUGUAAAAAAAAUAAGGCAAGGUAUUGUAAACACUAUGGAUUCCAACACAAAGGAUCACAACAGUAAAGGGAUCUAAACAGUUAAUACACUUGAAUUGUUAAUAACAAGUAAACACAACAAACAGAAAGUGCACGGCAUCACCCUUCGUGCUUUAACACUCUCUCACCAAAGCAAUAUACGGCAUCACCCUUCAUGCUUUAACACUCUCUCACCAAAACAAUACAUGACAUCACCCUUCGUGCUUUACACUCUUCCUCACCCAAGCAACAAACACAAGGCAAAUAGGGUAAGAGAAUCUAUAACAUCGAAAUAAAAUUAAGUAACAACAGAAAAUCAGUAAAUAAACGUAAAGGACAACAAAACUCAAUUAGAAUCAGGAAAAAUCAAGGACAAGUGCACGACAUCACCCUUCGUGCUUUGCCUCGCGUCCUCACCAUAAGAAUCAAUAUAAACUGCACGACAUCACCCUUCGUGCUUUUACUCUCAUCCUCACCAUAAAAUUAAUAUAAUCGACACGGAAUUGUACAUCGUGCGGCACGACAUCAUCCUUCGUGCUUUAACACUCUUCCUCACCCAAACAACAAUCAUAAGAAAUAAGGGCAAGGAAAUAAAUGAAAUCCCAAUAAAAUCCUGGCAAGGGAACAAUAGUACAACAAUCAAAUCACGUCAAGAGAAACAACAUCAAACAAUAAUAUCCCGGAAAGGGAGACAAUAUCAUGAUUCUCUCUCUCCUUUCUUCUUUCACGUUUACUUCACAACUCAAUUCACAACUUGAGAUAAUGCUCUGCAAUAUUCAACAAUUCAAUUCACAACUUGAGUCAAUGCUCUACAAUAUUCAACAAUUCAAUUCUCAACUUGAGUCAAUGCUCUAUAAUAUUCAACAAUUCUAUUCCUAACUAGAGCCAAUGCUCUACAAUGUUCAACAAUUCAAUUCUCAACUUGAGCCAAUGCUCUACAAUUUUCAACAAUUAAAUUCUUAACUUGAGCCAACACUCUACCAUAUUCAACAAUUAAAUUCUCAACUUGAGCCGACGCUCUACCAUGUUCAAUUAACAAUAAUACUUCCACAAGUCAUAUUCCUCAAUAGAAAUUAUCAUAUAGAGCAUAUACAAUACGAAACAGAGUCACAUUAAUCAAAGUAUAAGACUUACAGGCAUGCUUGACACCAAUGUAUAGAUACUUGUCACCAUGCCUAUACGUCGUACUCAACAAAUAACACAUAACAAAUAGGACACAACUCCUAAUCCCUCAAGCUAAGGUUAAACCAAACACUUACCUACCUUUUCAACCAAUUCAAAAUUUCAACAAGCCUUCGCCUCGCGAAUUCGUCUGAAGCUUCAAAUCUAGUCAUAAUAAUUCAAUAUACUCAAUAUAAAUCGUACGAAUUAAUUCCAUAUGAAAUUACAAAUACUCCGGAUUAAAAUUCGAAAUUUAUUUUAAAAUUCAACAACAGGGCCCAUGUUCCGAAUCCAAGAAAAACUCACAAAAUCCGAACGUCGUUCCGAAACGAGUACAACCAUACAAGAAUUAUCGAAUUCCGAUAUCGAAUUGUCUUUCAAAUCUUCAAUUAAAGUUUUGAAGAUUUCUACCAUUUUCAAUCCAAUCUUUACCUAUUUGAACUCAACAAUCUUCCCACAACCUUAUUGUUACAAGUAUGAAUAACUAAUACUCUCACAUCCAAGAAUCAUCUUACUAAUUACCCAUUUCUAGUUAGAUUUUGAAAUUGAAGAAUUGGGGAAAUAAAUUCUUACAUCUUGAAGUCCUAGCAACCACUUUGAUGCGAUUUCAAGGUUUGAUUUCAGGUAGAGUGGUGCAAAUCCUUAUCCCUUCUUUUCCUCUCUCUAGAAUCGCUCUCCCCUUUCUCUAAAACACCAGAAAAUACCCAAAACUAUGAGCCCUAAAUGAGUUAAAUGAAAUGGGGCUCGGGUUAUAAAUUUGAGUAUUUGUACAGCCCCGGCGCAUGGGGCACCGCGAGGUGCAUGGCGGUUGUGUAAAAAGUGUCUAGAAAUGACAUUUCAGAACAUUCUGGAAUUUCCUACAGACGCGGCGCGCCGGGCGGCGCAGUAGUACAACUUUUGCCAGCGUUUGGCAAUUUGGCGAUAACAUCUUGUAGGAGUGUCCAAAUGAUGAACGGUUUAAUGCGUUAGAAACUAGACUCAAAGGUCAUUCUUUUGAUAGGUUGUACAUCACAUAACACCUUAUAUAUAUGUAGAUAUGAUCGUCCAAAGUUAGGUCUUGUGUGUACUCAUUUGCAACCUUCAGUCUAUUAUGAAAGUUUCCAACUUUGCUUAGACUUAGGACUUUCCUUAGACCCCAUUUAUCUUAUAGUACGCCUCGUACACUUGCUAUCAUAUCCAAUUGGUAUCCAUCAUGGUAAUUGACCUCUUCCACAUAUAAAAUAAUAUAAUUAGAACACGUCAACUUUCUUACUUUGCCAAAAUGCGCCGAAUUGUCUUAUGGACUUCCGAAUCCAAAUUCGGACACAUGUCUAAGUCCAAAAUCAUCAUACGAAGCUAUUAACAUCAUUAAAAUUCCAUUUUGUGGUUGUUUGCUCAAAAGUCAACUCUUUGGUCAACUCUUUCCAUUUGAGCUUCAAAAAUAAGAUUCUGUUUUUUUUAAAUUUAACUCAGAAUCUUACGAAAACCAAACUCGACCACACACACAAUUCAUAAUACACAUUAUGAAGCUUCUUGAGAUAUUAAGAUGCUGAACGGGGCACUAAUUCUUAAAAUGACAAGUCGGGUCAUUACAUUCUCCACCUCUUAAAUAAACGUUCGUCCUCAAACGUGCUAAAAAUUAUUUUGAGGUCACCAAAUUGAUGAUUUUACUUUUACACAUAUGCUCGCGGUUGAUUCCAUGCUACCGCAUUCGAUAUAAGUCUAACAACACUACCUCAAUUGAGAUUAUUUCUUUUAUCCAUAUUUGUAAACUUUAAGACCAGAUCUAUUACACUCCGAACAUUUUCAAAAGGUCCGAUUUUUACAUCAUCAUACAAUAUUAGUCUCACCUGGCUAUAGCAACUCGUGCCUACGCACGCAACAACUUUUUAUUAGCGCUUAACGGUUGUUACAUCCUCCCCCACUUAGGGUCAUCCAUCCUCAAAUAAUAAUUAAAGUCCUCUCUCAAACACAUAACAUAACUUAUCUUUUUCUUCGCACAUCUUAAUGUCCCAAAUUUUUCUAACUCCCAAAUUUUUCAAAAAUUUCAGCAAAGUCUCCCCUGUAAUUAGGCUUAUCCACCUGCCAGAGUAACACUAAAACAAAUCCUAACAACACAUCCACAACUCAACAAAUCACCACAAUAUAUUUAUCAAUAACACCAAUCUCCGCAUUACAAGUGUGACACUAUCAUAAAGAUAUUUCGACAUGAAACACAUCAUAUGUAUGACCUUUACCAUAUAUCUGGUCUUAAUAGUUGUACUUAAUCGAUUACAAAAUUGCCAAUUAACUUCAUGUUAACAAAUUCUUGUUUCAAGCUUUCACUUUACUAACAACGUAACAUGAAGACCUCAUAAUUACUUACCCAAAUUAACGAUUCACAAUUAACGCCACCUGGGCACUCACCUUGUAGGCUAAAACUCAAUAACUACAAUACAAUUUGGCAAAUUAUGCAUAGAGAUAUUCAUACAAGAAUUUUCAAAUAAGCCUCAUAGGCAUGUCUCCCUAUAAGUACUAUAUUACAAAUUUUAAUUUCACAAAGGGAGAAUUUAAAUACAUAAACUUUUCACCACAAGGACCUUGUCCUUAUAUAACAUUCACCGCAGCUUGUAGCCCAGUUUAAAUAUUACAUAUAUCAUGUAAAAGUAUAAGGAUCUCAUCCUCAACUCCGUACACAAGUAAUAUGCACAUUAUGCCAACUGAAAUUUUCUAUUUCCUUUCUUUCUUCUACUAAACAAUUUCCGUUAAACAAAAUCACAACAUAUAAAGAACCCUCACACCGAUAGGGAAUAAAAUUCGCAAUUUAAAUCAAUUUUCCUGAAAUCACAUCAAAACCCACAUCACAACUAUUUUUAAUGACUAACACAUAAUGAUAGACAUAAAUAUCUCCAUAUAAUCUCCCAACAUGAGUAUUCAUAUAAGCAAAUUUAAGAUUACGAAGCUCACUCAUGAGUAGAGCAUAUUAGGAGGACUUACCUCGAUACUCAUAACCGAAUCAAGUUAAGGAAAUUGUUUCUUUAUGAUAACUCGAGUUUGUACUUGUAAUGACUCCAUCUAGUGUAGCAACCUCAGCUAUACCAUAGCAAAUAUAUCAAUGGUUUAGGCCUCCACCUCUUAGGCGCCAUCUACCCGCUUUUCCUCCACCCCUAAUUGGUAGUGUAAGUAGAGUAGUAACUAUAAUGGAGUACGUGGCAUAUGUGCUCUGAUGGAACAGAUUUUUCCCAAGUCUAUGACAAUUUCUCAGGAUGUUCCUAGUAUCACCAUUUUCAUAACAACCCAUCCGCAGUUUGACUACUCAUACUGAGUCUAUACCGGAUAACUUAAAUAACCAUUGUAGGUAAUUCCAUGCCACUGGUACAUUAAAAGAUGACUGCCCCACGCGAGUGUUGUGAUUAACUUAAGCACUACGAGUAUACUAAAUAUGUUUCCAUGACCCCGCUGAUACUGAAAUGUAGAAUUAUUAAAGACGCAGUAAUAUCUCAAGUCUCAUCAUCAUCCCAUUCAAAUCUCACCUCUUGAUCAUAUACAAGUUUUGGAAAACCUUUCAAUACCACAUAAAUACAUCUCAGGCCAAAAUUGGUAUAACACAUGACCCCGCAAUCUGAUCGCUGAUAGUGGACUCCUCUCACUUGGUGCGAAACCAUAAGACACAUUCCCGACGAUCCAUAAUACUAACCUUCACCGCUCGUACGACACCAGUCAUAAGACACCUCAAUCCAUUUAUUUGGAAAUUGUCAUCCUCAUGAUAGUUAAACUCGCUUACUCCGGUGUCUUGGUUGCUAGUAUGUACUCUUCACUAAUUAGAAAUCCCAUACGAACCACAUAAUCUCUAAUACCACUAACUAUAUUUAGAUCUAUAUCCACUUGUGAUGAUUACGUAACCAAUUAAACCUUCUUAAGAUUGUACUUAUCAACCAGAUGUCAAAAUCUGAUGCACUCGCAUGCGCACAACUGAAAGAUCUCUCUGCACUUCAAUAACCUCGAUUCUGAACGACACGUGGUAACAAUGGUUGAGCAACCCUGGCUCUCUUAUAACCCUUUUACAGUAUCACAAACCAUUGGCGUAGUGCGCAAUUCCAUACAUGAGUGGAUGCAAAAGAACAUAAAAUAUAUGCUUCAAGCUGAAUAAAUGUCGCACGAUAAGGAAUGAAUGAAGUGGGAAUUUUUUUUUCCUACUAGUUCUGUAGCCUCUCGAAGAUAAGUACAGAUGUCUCUGUACUGACCCGCAAAACUCUACUAAACUUGUCUAUGAAUUGUGAGACCUAUGUAACCUAGGGCUCUGAUACCAACUUGUCACGACCCAGAUUUCCCACCCUCGGGAGUUGUGAUGGAGCCUACUAGUGAAAGUUUGACAAGCCAACCAACUGAACUAUCUACCUUGUUUCCAUUUUUAAUCCGAUAACAGUUAAGAGCCAACAAUUAGAUAACAACAAAAUUGAAUAAGCAGAAGACUGUAUUGUAAAGUUUUAAUAAUACUGCUAAUACCAAUCCAUAACAAAUCUACCCAAUAUUGGUGUCACAACUUCACAGACUGUCUAGGAGUACUACAAAUAAAGGUGUGAAAGAAAUAAAUACAAUACUAUCUCUGGAAAUACAUGAAAGAAUAAGGAAUGGUAGAUAGAAGGAGACGCCAAGGCCUGCGGACGCCUGCAGGACUACCUCGGGUCGCCUGAUGAACAACAAACAGCAAUCUCACUGCAGUAUGAAGUCUACAGCAUUGUGAUUUGCGCAAAAGAGUGCAGAGUGUAGUAUCAGCACAACCGACCCCAUGUGCUGGUAAGUGCUAGCCUAACCUCGACGAAGUAGUGACGAGGCUAGGACCAUACUACCAAAUAUACCUGUGCAAUAUAGCGUACAAAAACAAUAGGAAGCAGAUAACAAUGAUGGCAACAAUUAUCAACCAGUGAUAUAAAUAGCAGGCAAUAAGAACACCAUAAAUGUUUCUCAACAAAUAAUAAAUAAAAGUGCAAUCAAUUAAUCAAGUCCUUCAAAUAUAAAUCUUUCAAAUAAGCAUCUUUCGAAUAUAAUUCUUUCGAGUAAAGGUCACUUUGUGACGCCUCAUUUCAUAAUCAUAAAUAAUAUAGGUCUCAGCCCACUUUCAUAUUUUCACGGCACCUCGUGCCCAUAUAUUUUUGUCUCACAUUGCACAACUAUAUUCUCAUGUUGCUCAGUUUAUAGGUUUNNNNNNNNNNNNNNNNNNNNNNNNNNNNNNNNNNNNNNNNNNNNNNNNNNNNNNNNNNNNNNNNNNNNNNNNNNNNNNNNNNNNNNNNNNNNNNNNNNNNNNNNNNNNNNNNNNNNNNNNNNNNNNNNNNNNNNNNNNNNNNNNNNNNNNNNNNNNNNNNNNNNNNNNNNNNNNNNNNNNNNNNNNNNNNNNNNNNNNNNNNNNNNNNNNNNNNNNNNNNNNNNNNNNNNNNNNNNNNNNNNNNNNNNNNNNNNNNNNNNNNNNNNNNNNNNNNNNNNNNNNNNNNNNNNNNNNNNNNNNNNNNNNNNNNNNNNNNNNNNNNNNNNNNNNNNNNNNNNNNNNNNNNNNNNNNNNNNNNNNNNNNNNNNNNNNNNNNNNNNNNNNNNNNNNNNNNNNNNNNNNNNNNNNNNNNNNNNNNNNNNNNNNNNNNNNNNNNNNNNNNNNNNNNNNNNNNNNNNNNNNNNNNNNNNNNNNNNNNNNNNNNNNNNNNNNNNNNNNNNNNNNNNNNNNNNNNNNNNNNNNNNNNNNNNNNNNNNNNNNNNNNNNNNNNNNNNNNNNNNNNNNNNNNNNNNNNNNNNNNNNNNNNNNNNNNNNNNNNNNNNNNNNNNNNNNNNNNNNNNNNNNNNNNNNNNNNNNNNNNNNNNNNNNNNNNNNNNNNNNNNNNNNGACAUCACCAUUCGUGCUUUACACUCUUCCUCACCCAAGCAACAAACACAAGGCAAAUAGGAUAAGAGAAUCUAUAACAUCGAAAUAAAAUCAAGUAACAACAGAAAAUCACUAAAUAAACGUAAAGGACAACAUAACUCAAUUAGAAUCAGGAAAAAUCAAGGACAUGUGCACGGCAUCACCCUUCGUGCUUUUACUCUUGUCCUCACCAUAAGAAUCAAUAUAAACUGCACGGCAUCACCCUUCGUGCUUUUACUCUCAUCCUUACCAUAAAAUCAAUAUAAUCGGCACAAAAUUGUAUAUCGUGCGGCACAACAUCACCCUUCGUGCUUUACACUCUUCCUCAUAAAAUCAUACAUGGCAUUACCCUUCGUGCUUUAACACUCUUCCUCACCCAAACAACAAUCACAAGAAAUAAGGGCAAUGAAAUAUAUGAAAUCACAAUAAAAUCCUGGCAGGGGAACAAUAGUACAACAAUCAAAUCCCGGCAAGGGAAACAACAUCAAAACAAUAACAUCUCGGUAAGGGAGACAAUAUCAUGAUUCUCUCUUUCCUUUCUUCUUUCACGUUUACUUCACAACUCAAUUCACAACCUGAGCCAAUGCUCUACAAUCUUCAACAAUUCAACUCACAACUUGAGCCAAUGCUCUACAAUGUUCAACAAUUCAAUUCUCAACUUGAGUCAAUGCUCUAUAAUGUUCAACAAUUCUAUUCUUAACUAGAGCCAAUGCUCUACAACGUUCAACAAUUCAAUUCUCAACUUGAGCCAAUGCUCUACAAUAUUCAACAAUUCAAUUCUCAACUUGAGUCAAUGCUCUACAAUGUUCAACAAUUAAAUUCUCAACAUUACCCAACAUUCUACCAUGUUCAACAAUUAAAUUCUCAACUUAAGCCAACACUCUACCAUGUUCAAUUAACAAUAAUACUUCCACAAGUCAUAUUCCUCAAUAGAAAUUAUCAUAUAGAGAAUAUACAAUACGAAACGAAGUCACAUUAAUCAAAGUAUAAGACUCAGGGCAUGCUUGAUACCAACGUAUAGAUACUUGUCACCAUGCCUAUACGUCAUACUCAACAAAUAACACAUAACAAAUAGGACACAACUCCUAAUCCCUCAAGCUAAGGUUAGACCAAACACUUACCUAGCUUUGCAACCAAUUCAAAAUUCUAACAAGCCUUUGCCUCGCGAAUUCGUCCGAAGCUUCAAAUCUGGUCAUAAUAAUUCAAUAUACUCAAUAUAAAUCGUACGAAUUAAUUCCAUAUGAAAUUACUAAUAUUUCGGAUUAAAAUUCAAAAUUUAUUUUAAAAUUCAACAACGGGACACAUGUUCCGAAUCCAAGAAAAACUCACAAAAUCCGAACACUCGUUCCGAGACGAGUUCAACCAUACAAGAAUUAUCAAAUUCCGACAUCGGAUAGUCUUUCAAAUCUUCAAUUAAAGUUUUGAAGAUUUCUACCAUUUUCAAUCCAAUCUUUACCUAUUUGAACUCAACAAUCUUCCCACAACCUUAUUGUUACAAGCAUGAAUAACUAAUACUCUCACAUCCAAGAAUCAUCUUACUAAUUACUCAUUUCUAGUUAGAUUUUGAAAUUGAAGAACUGGGGAAAGAAAUUCUUACAUCUUGAAGUCCUAGCAACCCCUUUGUUGUGAUUUCAAGGUUUGAUUCCAGGUAGAGUGGUGAAAAUCCUUAGCCCUUCCUUUACUAUCUCUAGAAUCGCUCUCCCCUCUCUUUAGAACACCAGAAAAUACCCAAAAAUAUGAGCCCUAAACGAGUUAAAUGAAAUGGGGCUCGGGUUAUAAAACUGAGUAUUUGUACAACCGCGGUGCGUGGGGCACCGCAAGGUGCAUGGAGGUUGUGUAAAAAGUGUCUAGAAAUGACAUUUCAGAACAUUCUGGAAUUUCCUACAGACGCGGCGCGCCGGGCGCCUCCUUGGGCGGCGCGGUAGUACAACUUCUGCCAACAUUUUUUAGUUUGGCCAUAACUUCUUGUAGGAGUGUCCAAAUGAUGAACGGUUUGAUGCAUUAGAAACUAAACUCAAAGGUUAUUCAUUUGAUAGGUUUUACAUAAUAUAACUCCUUAUAUGUAUGUAGAUAUGAUCUCCCAAAGUUAGGUCUUGUGCGUACUCAUUUGCAAUUUUAGUCUAUUAUGAAAGUUUCCAACUUGGCUUAGACUUAGGACUUUCCUUAGACCCCAUAUAUCUUAUAGUACGCCUCGUAAACUUGCUAUCAUAUCCAAUUGGUAUCCAUUAGGGUAAUAGACCUCUUCCACAUAUAAAAUAAUAUAAUUAGAACACGUCAACUUUCUUACUUCACCAAAAUGCGCUGAAUUGUCUUAUGGGCUUUCGAGUCCAAAUUCGGACACACUUCUAUGUCCGAAAUCAUCAUACAAAGCUAUUGACAUCAUUAAAAUUCCAUUUUGGGGUCGUUUACUGAAAAGUCAACUCUUCGGUCAACUCUUUCCAUUUGAGCUUCAAAAACAAGAUUUUGUUUUUCUUUAAAUUUAACUCCGAAUCUUACGAAAACCAAACUCGACCACACACACAAGUCAUAAUACACAUUAUGAAGCUUCUUGAGGUCUUAAGAUGCUGAACGGGGCGCUAAUUCUUAAAAUGACAAGUCGGCUCGUUACAAACGUUCGUCCUCGAACGUGCUAAAAAUUAUUUUGAGGUCACCAAAUUGAUGAUUUUACUUUUACACGUAUGCUCCCGAUUGAUUCCACGCUACCGCAUUUGACAUAAGUACGACAACACUACCUCAAUUGAGAUUAUUUCUUUUAUCCAUAUUUGUAAAUUUUAAGACCAAAUCUCUUACACUCCGAACAUUUUCAAAAGGUCCGAUUUUUACAUCAUCAUACGAUAUUAGUCUCACCUGGCUGUACUCGUGCCUACGCACGCAGUUAACCACUAGAUUUUUACAACUCUAGCCUGCUGCACACAAAUGUCUCCCACCCCUUCGCCUCAAAGUUCAAUGUUCUCCCCAAUAUCUUCACCCCCGCAGUCAACCACUUGGGGGUGGUACUUAGGAUGUCCAAGUACUCCCCCAACCAUGGACGGGCUUCUUUACCCAACUUCAUCUUGUCUAAGUAUAGGGACUCAUCCUCCUCCGUGAAGCCUAAAUAGUCAUUGAUGGUCAUGCCAUCAAACUUCACUUUCAUCCAUAUACCUUAUGAAGUAGUCCCAUCCAGCUCUAUCUCUGAAUUGGCUCAACACAAUGGGGUUGUGAGGCAGAAGGUCCGGGGUGAUGAUUUUUCUCUCAGGUAUCAACCUCUUCUCUGGCCACCACACCCUGAAUUUGUGAUAGGCAAUCUUACUGAUGAACCGGUCCCUCCCAUGCCUCCGGGUUCCUAGUCCUCUCUACCCCACCUACUUGAGGCUCACCCCCUUCUACUUCUUCCCCUUCUUCUCCUACUACACCCUCUCCGGAUAAUGAAGUUGUAGGAGAGGUGGAGUACUCAUCCCCACCGCCUUCAGCUGAGCCCUUAGACGACUCAGAAGAUAUAUGAAUUGUAGCUUGGGCAGUGGGGGAUGCUGGAGGUGUAUCUCUCAACUGGUUUCUCUCCGGCCAGUCAGGAUAGUAUUCUAGCAUUGUAUCUGAAGAUGCCUCCUGGGAGGGCUUGUACUCACUCCCCGGCUGAUCAAUUGCUCUGUCUGCAGUUUUCAUGAUUUUCCUUGUGUUUUUAAUGUUCUGUCGGACUUGUGGGGUCAACUUUAUCAUUCCUUGUUUCCCACCCGGAGAGGACUCUCCUCUUCCUGCUUGUUUACCACCUUUGCCUCUUGAUUUUACCAUUGUCUACAAACAACAUUCAUUCAUACUUUGUUAGUAUCCAGAAAAAUAUUGUAAUUCAAGUUGCAGAAGAAAAAUGUUGUAGACAGUAUAAAAAUUGCAGAAUGCGAACCGCACAAAAUGCAGUGUGGCCGCAAAUAGGCCAUUGCGCACCGCACAAAAUCCAUUGCGGUCCGCAUAGAGGUAGGGUUCAGACUACCCACUCUCUGAAUCUAUGCACCGCAGAUCGCACAAAAUGCCAAUGCGGUCCGCGUUGAAGCACUACGGACCGCACAAAAUCCAAUGCGGUCGCGAUUCUCUAAUGUCAGCUUUUAGGACUUUCACCAUUGCGGUCCGCGCAAAAGAGCAUUGCGAACCGUACAAAGGCACCAUGGACUGCACAAAAUCCAUCGCGGUCCGCACUGAAUGCCUAGUAGCAAUACCAACCUAGGGUUCAUUUUUUGAUCAAUUUUAGUCCAAUUUUUCACCUAUUGAUGAGUCCCUAAGUGUUGGUUCAGUGAUUUAACUACCUAAACCUACUUUAAACAAAAAUUAACUAACCUAAGCUACAAAAUUGAAAGGAAUAAGGACAGGGAGAGAAGAAGAACUAAGGAAAACAAAAAUUCAAAGAAAAUAAAUAAUUUAAACACUAAGAAGAAGUUAAUGUUACCAAAAAUAGAUGAAAUGCUAGUAAUGAACUUGAACAAUUAAAAGUGUGCAGAUUAGAGAGAUGAAUAGUGAAUUUUUUUACUUUUGAGAGGAGAAAGUUCGAAAAGUUCAAAAGGAGGGCCUCAGGUCCUAUUUAUAGAAAAAGGUAGUGGGCCCCAGCUCACCUACCCUCUGUGGACCAAACAAAAUGGCACUGCGGUCCACGGUGAUUAAAACUAUAGGGCACUAACAAAUGGACCACUGCGGACCGCACGAAAUGUAAUGUGGCCGUAGUGGACCAUCGUAGACCGCACAAAAUGCAAUGCGGCCGCGGUGGUAAACUUCAGAGAACCCAAAAUUUUGUCAAAUCACCAGUGCGGUCCGCGCCCCCGCACAAAGGCCUUUGCGGCCGCACAAACUGAGUGCGGCCCGCAUUGACAACUUCAGAGAGUGGUCAUUUUCCAACUUUUUCCUUCACUGCAUCAAUACAAUCCUAUAGCUCUCAUAACCAGUCAGUCCAAUAAUAAAUCCUAAACUACAAUGAAAAUCAAAGAAAAACACAUGGGUUGCCUCCCAAGAAGCGCCUGAUUUAACGUCACAGCAUGAUGCAGGUUACCAUAAAAUCAUUUGAGAUGAAGAAAUUCCACCACGUGGCUGUCAUCAAUUUUUCCCAAGUAGUGCUUGACCCUGUGCCCAUUCACUCUGAAAACUUCCCCAUUUUUGUUCUUCAAGUCAAGUACACCAAACGGGGUCACAAACACCACUUCAAAAGGUCCACUCCAUUUUGACUUUAGCUUUCCCGGAAACAGGCAUAACCGAGAAUUGAACAAGAGAACCAAAUCACCCACUUUGAACUCCUUGCCACAAGCAUAUUUAUCAUGAAGGUACUUCAUCUUGUCCUUGUACAAGGAUGAACUGGAGUAGGCAUGGAAUCGGAAUUCAUCAAGUUCAUUAAGCUCCUCCACACGAAGAUUUGCUGCCACACCCCAUUCAAGAUUUAACUUCCUCAAAACCCACAUGGCCUUAUGCUCUAACUCAACCGGUAGAUACAAGCUUUCCCAAACACCAAACAAUACGGAGGCAUACCAAUCGAAGUCUUGUAGGCAGUCCUAUAAGCCCAUAGAGCAUCAUCCAACUUCUUUGACCAAUCGGUCCUAUUUGCAUUGACUGCCUUUGAUAAUAUACUCUUGAUUUCACUGUUUGAGACUUCAACUUGGCCACUCACUUGAGGAUGAUAAGGAGGAGAAACUUUGUGGUUGACACCAUACUUUACAAGCAAAGUGUCAAAAGCUCUAUUACAAAAAUGAGACCCCCCAUCACUUAUGAUUGCACGAGGAGUGCCAAACCUUGUAAAAAUGCUCUUCUUAAGAAAUGCAACAACACUCCGGGCUUCAUUGUUAGGUAGAGCCACGGCUUCAACCCACUUUGAAACNNNNNNNNNNNNNNNNNNNNNNNNNAUACAACACAAAUAUCAACCUCAAGAAUGGUAUUGAGAUGCAUCCCAUCUUUCUUCAAAAUUCCACCCACUCUUUGAUAUUCGUCAUACCUCUUCACAAGUUCACUUGCAUAUUUGUACAAAGUUGGCCAAUAAAACCCACAACUAAGAACUUUGGAAGCCGUCCUCGCCCCACCAUGAUGGCCACCAUAGGGAGAGGAAUGACAAGCCUCCAAGAUACUCAAUUGCUCUUCCUCCGAGACACACCUUCGGAUCACACCAUAUGUGCAAAUAUUGAACAAGUACGACUCAUCCCAAUAUAAAUCCAAACUAUCCCGUUUGAGCUUAUUCCUUUGGUUAGAAGAGAGCUCACACGGAAUUAUACUAGUCACAAGGAAAUUAGCAACAUCCGCAAACCAUGGCAUACCAUUCACCGACACCGAAAGGAGUUGUUCGUCGGGAAAUGAAUUAUUGAUCUUUAGGCCAUCACGAGGCCUCCCCUCCUCCUCCAAGCGGGACAAGUGGUCCGCUACUUGAUUUUCACUACCCUUACGGUCUACAUUCUCCAAAUCAAACUCUUGAAGUAACAAUGCCCAUCGCAUCAGUCUAGCUUUAGAGUCCUUCUUCGUCAUCAAGUAUCGGAGUGCGGCAUGAUCGGCAUGAAUUAUGACCUUGGCACCUAUGAGAUACAGCCAAAAUUUCUCCAUCAUGAACACAAUAGCCAAAAGCUCUUUCUCGGUCACUGUGUAGUUCACUUGAGAAUCAUUCAUUGUCUUGCUCGCAUAGUACACCGGAUGAAAUAUUUUGUUAACUCUUUGACCCAAAACCGCCCCAACUGCAACAUCGCUCGCAUCAAACAUGAGCUCAAAGGUUAGGCUCCAAUUAGGUGCAGUAAUGAUAAGAGUGGUGGUCAACUUAUGCUUGAGAAGUUCAAAGGCUUGCAUACAUUUUUUAUCGAACCCAAACUUGGCAUCUUUUUCCAAUAACUUGCAUAGGGGAUUCACUACCUUCGAAAAGUCUUUGAUAAAUCUCUAGUAGAACCUCGCAUGCCUAAGAAAACUUUUAACUCCCUUGACAGAGGUAGGGGAGGGAGCCUUGAAAUCACAUCAAUUUUUGCUUUGUCUACCUAAAUACCAUGCUUUGAAAUUUUAUGCCCAAGAACUAUGCCCUCUUCUACCAUGAAGUGGCAUAUCUCCCAAUUAAGAACAAGAUUGGUUUCUUCACAAUGGGCCAAAACUUUAUCAAGAUUCUUCAAACACUCAUCAAAUGAAUCACCCAUAACACUAAAGUCAUCCAUGAACACCUCCAAAAUGUUUUCCACUAUAUUGGUGAAAAUGGCCAUCAUACACCGCUGAAAUGUAGCGGGUGCAUUACACAACCCAAAAGGCAUUUGAGAAAAGGAAAAGGUGUCAUAUGGACAAGGGAAUGUGGUCUUCUCCUGAUCUUCUGGAGCAAUCAAGAUUUGGUUGUACCCAGAAUACCCAUCCAAGAAACAGUAGAAGGCACGCCCAGCAAGUCGAUCUAACAUUUGAUCAAGAAAAGGUAAAGGAAAGUGAUCCUUGCGGGUCACUUUAUUCAACUUGCGGUAGUCCAUGUAUACCCUCCAACGAGUGAUGGUUCUAGUAGGAAUCAACUCAUUUUGUAAAUUUGCAACCACGGUCAUGCCACCCUUCUUCGGUACACAUUGCACUGGCGAAGUCCAAGAGCUAUUAGAGAUGGGGUACACAACCCCGACAUCCAACCACUUGAUCACCUCCUUUUUCACAAUUUCUUGCAUUGUCUCAUUCAAUCUCCUUUGAUGUUCCAAGGAGGGCUUUGCAUCAUCUUUUAGAAUAAUCUUAUGCAUACAAAAUGCGGGGCUUAUCCCCCGAAUAUCAGCUAAAGUCCAUCCAAUUGCCUUUUUCCGCUUUUGAAGCACCGCUAAUAUAGCAUCAACCUGCAUGUUAGUAAGACAAGAGGAAAGAAUAACUAGCAAAGUAGAACUAGGGCCUAAGAACUCAUACAUGAGGUGUGGAGGCAACGGUUUCAACUCCAACAUCGGAGGUUCCUCAAUUGAAGGUUUUAUUGGUGGAGUCUUCCUAUUCUCGAGGUCUAAAGAUAGUUUUCUAGGCUCAUAGGAGUAAGAGAUCAUCCCAUGUAAAGCAUUCACACACUCCACUCGGCCCUCAUCAUCAUUGACAUAAAGAUUCAAUAAUACGGCCUCCAGAGGGUCCUCUACAUUGAUUAUUGCACUGGUAUUAUGAACUAUCACUACCAUGACAAAGUCCACAAAAGAGCACACCUCGGAACUAUUGGGCUUCUUCAUUGACUUGCAGAUGAAAGACCACUUUUUCAUCACCCACCCGGAAGGUGAGUUCCCCUGCUUUCACAUCAACUAAGGCCUUCCCAGUAGUAAGGAAAGGUCUCCCCAAAAUGAUUGGAACUUCAUAAUCUACCUUACAAUCCAUGAUCACAAAAUUAGCUGGCAAGAUAAAUUUGUCCACCCGGACAAGCACAUCAUCAAUAAUACUCAAUGGUCUCUUCAUCGUUCUAUCAGCCAUUUGCAAUCUCAUGGAAGUCGGCCUCGGUUGCCUAAUACCCAAAGUCUUGAAAACUGAGUAGGGCAUCAAGUUGAUACUUGCCCCAAAAUCACAUAGAGCUUUAGCAAAGCCCGCACUCCCAAUGGUGCAAGGAAUGGUGAAAGCACCGGGAUCUUCAAGCUUCGAGGCCAUUGAAUACACUAUUUCACUAACUUGGUGGGUCAUAUUUAUAGUUUCACAAUCCAUGGAUCAUUUUUUUGUCAUCAAGUCCUUCAUGAAUUUAACAUAGCCCGGUAUUUGUUCAAGAGUCUCCACCAAAGGCACAUUAAUGUAUAAGCUCUUCAUCAUGUCAAUGAACUUUUUAAACUGAUUCUCAUUUUUCUUCUUCGCGAGCCUUUGAGGAUAAGGUAGAGGUGGCCUUGGCAAAGGAUCCUUGUCUUUAUGCACAACCGACUCUGGCAUGUCUAUUACGUGUUCCCUAGACGGGUUCACAUUAUUUUGAGUUUUCACCUCGGCAUCUUGAAUAUCGAUCCUCACUUCUUCAUUCAUAUUCUCAUCAAUCACAUUUUCAACCACCAAUGGGACUGCAUCUUCUUGCAAUCAACAUCAUCACCCAAAUUUUGCUUUUGUUUGGAGGCAUUCACAUCAACGCCUCGUCCACUCCUUGUAGUUACCAUCAUAACAUGAUUGUUCCCACCCUUCAGGUUUACUACCGUAUCACUUGGUAGAGCACCAUUAGGGCGAGUAUUCAAAGACUGUGAGAUUUGGCCUCCAAAUUUCUAAUUGAAGUAUUAUGGGAAGACAAUUGUGCAUCAGAAUCUGCAUUCUUCUUCAUCAUUUGUUCGAACAUCAUUUCAAUUCUCCCCAUAUCAUUAUUAGAAGAACCUGGACCUUGGGAUGAAAAUAGGGGAUGAAUUGUUCGAUUAUUGGUACACUGGGGGACUUUGAAAGCCUUGCACCCUCUUUCCUUGAUUGACAUUGUUCCACCCUCCUUGAUUGUUGUUACCACCCCAGUUGGUGUUGUUACCAUUCCAAUUACCCUAAUUGUUCUGAUUACCCCAAUUGGAAUUUUGGUUGUUGUUCCCCCAAUUACCAUUGUCUUGUUGUUGUUGAUUGCCCCAAUUGCCUUGGGGUCUCCAUUGUUGUUGGUUGGAAGAAUUGCUCCUUUGACCUUGAUAAUUAUUCACGUCUUGCACCUCUUCAUUCUGUCCAUCAUAACUAUCAUCUUGGAAUCCACCACAAUCAUUGUCAAAUUGCUCUGAAUUCCCUUGGUUUUGUUGACCUCUUUGCCUUCUUUUGUUGACUAGCAUGUUGACACCCUCCAUGGCAUUCACUUGGCGAGGAUUUUGAACUUGUUGCAACUGUUUCAUUGUAGUUGUCAACUCAGCUAUAGCCUGCCCAUAAUCAUUAACUCCUUGUGCAAAUGAGUGACGUGGGAUCACCCUGGGCGCAUUGGCUCUACUUUGCCAAGCAGAAGAAGUGUUAGUCAUCUCGUCAAGAAUGUCACAAGCCUCAUCAUAAGACAGCUUCAUGAAGUUGCCCCCAGCAAUUUGGUUCACUAUGCACUGGUUUGUUGUAUUAAUGCCCCAGUAGAGAGUUUGUUGGAUCAUCGCCUCAGUCAUAUCAUUGUUGGGGCAUUCCUUUACCAUUGUUCUAUGGCCUCCCAAAUCUCAUGCAAUGGUUUAGUGGGCUCCUUCUUGAAAGCCAAGAUCUCAUCUCGCAAUGUUGCCAUAUGCCACAGUGAGAAAAAUAUUGCAAUGAACUUGUCCGCCAACUCAUCCUAGGUAGUGAGGGAAUGGUUGGGAAGUCUCUCAAGCCAAUCCAAUGCCUUCCCUCUAAGUGAAAAUAGAAAGAGUCUCAACCAAAGUGCAUCCUUGGACACAUUAGUUUGCUUGCUCCCCCAACAGGUAUCCACAAAACUCUUGAGAUAUUUGUAAACAUUUUGAUUGGCAGUGCCCGUAAAAUACCCAUGCUGCUCCAGCAAUGUCAGCAUCACAUUGGUAAUCUAAAAAUUUCCCACCCAGAUCUGGGGUGGGACAAUUGCACUUGCAUAGCCUUGGUUUGGAAACACUCGAGGAGCCACUCUUGGAGGUAACGGAAGAGGGUCUGGAAUAUUAUCAUUGGCAAUAGCAUUGGCCUGGCGACCUCAUCCUUGAGGUACAAGGGGCACCUCAUCAUCUCCGAUAUCAUCUACCUCCUCCCCCACAAUCACAUUUCCAAGAGGGUUAUUGGCAUUUUCUGCCAUUUUGUACCUAAAGUUGUGACACAUACAAAUUAGUAACACAAAAGGAAAAAAGAACAAUACACAAAACUAUUUAGAUAGAUAGCCAAAAUCGUUAGCUCCCCGGCAACGGCACCAAAAAAGUGAUCGAGGCCAACCCUAUACUACUAUUAAGUAGCAAGAGAGGUCAAAGCAGCUUUUACCUGAGAAGGUCGGGAUCAAUGUCCACAGGGAGCUAGAUAUUGGAGUUGAGUUUCUAUCUAAAUUGGAGUUGCGUAUUUGUUCCUAAUUGCACUUCUAAAUAUUUUUGGUUUUGAUAUUAAUUCUAAUUUAAUAAGACUAUGAUGCUAAAUUAAGCUAAGUAAGGCUAAGAUUAAACUAUUGCAAGUUGUUCAAAUAGAUAAAAGGCAUUAGGGUAGUGACUUUCUCCUAGGUGGCUAAUAGACGGAUACUUGAGUCUAAGGCUAGAUUGUCAUAUUUGGGGAGUAUGAUAUAACCAUUGCACGAUUCUACUCACUCUAUACCUCUCGGUAGUUUGAGUGAUUUUAUUGACUUUCUCAAGACCAAUUGGGUAUGCAAAUUUGUACAAGCAAUCAAGGUUCAAGUCGGCUAUUACUAUCUCUAGGUUUAACCCUUUAAUUGGGGCUAUCAAUCUCUUGAAUACGCCCCAAUUCCUUGUUGGACCAAUUUCAUGGACUUAGGCUCUCUUUCACAAGAAGAGCCAAAGUCUACUAGGCAUAAACUAGUGUUUCCAACCACUAAUUCAACAUUAAAACCCUACAUUAGUCCAAAUAUCAAACACUCAUAAACAAACAAGCAUCAAAACACAUGACCCGUCAAUUACCCAUAUUAGGGUUGAGCCACAACCCUAGCUAAUGGGUCUAGCUACUCAUAACUAUAGAAAAAAACAAAGAAAUAGAUAAAGAAAAGCCUAUAAUAAUUAAUUACUAGAUAAAACUUGAAGAUUCAAUGAUGAAACUAAGCUAAAAUUACUCAAAAUGAUAAAAGAGAAGUGUUCACGAGUGCAGCUCUAUCCCAAAAUCUAUCUGAUGACCUAAAAAUGGAAAAAGAAACUAUUUAUACUAGGCUGAAAAUUCUGGACAAAAAUACCCCUGCGGGGCUAGUGCGGACCAUGCAAAAUCGAGUGCGGACGCACUAAGGCUCUUGGCUUGACUAAUCUGCUCUCUGAAGUUGGCCAACGCAGACCGCACAAAAUGCACUACGGCCGCGGUGGCUUCUAUUGCGGUCCGCACAAAAUGGACUGCGGACAGCAUUGGGCAUCAUUCUCCAAUCUAGCAACUCUCUAAUCAUGGGCAAUGCAGAUCGCACAAAGUCGAGUGCGGCCGCAAUGAAAUAAAUAUGGACCGCACAAAAUCCUCUGUGGCCGCAUUGCCUGGUUGCCUGAAAAGCAUACUCUCUGAACUUCAUCUUUGCGGACCGCACAAAAUGGUGUGCGGCCGCACUGGCCCUGUUUGACUGAGCUUGGUCUUGUCUUGGUACUUGUGCAUGCUUCAUUCCUUUUUGAGCUGAUUUUUGACACAUUGUCACCUUGUUGAUCAAACCUUGCAAUCAAGUCCAACUUGUGAGCCUUUGGGAGUAUUUUGUACACAUUUCUAAUCAAAACUUAAGCAAGAAGGAUUGUAAAAUGCAUCAUAAUCCCUAGUUAUCAGAGAUUAGUGUCAUGAGUAAGAGGUUUGUGUAUUGACUUGCGGAUCGUUGAUUUACUUUGCAGCAUUUGUAUGGCCGGUGGUAUGGAUGUGCAGACUUGUUACCUGGUGCAGAAGGCCAUGAGAGCAUAUCCCACGGAAAGCUUGUAUAAGUGUGACGUGUAGUCACUUAAUUGAUUGAGGAUUUAAACCAAGUAUGGAGAUUGUAGUACUAGCGCUAAUUGAGAAUUUAUGCCUGAAGGGCGCUUGGUUCAUUUAGUUGUGGAAUGUGGAAGGUUGUUCCGGAUUAGACGGUUGUUCUUGUGUGUUAUGGGAAAAAGGGGGUUAUGGACCCAAGAAAGAUUAUUGGCCUAGUUUAGUACGAUCAUAAUCGGCUUGAGGUUUGUGAAUGAAAUUAAAUAUAAAUAUGGGCUCUAUAUCUGGCCGGAUAUGUUCAUUUCAGCAUAGCCCUCCUUAUGGAGGAGUAUAUGGAUGUUGGAUGUUAUUUUACCGUCGGCUAUUUUAUGUAAUGCUAUAUUGUGCCGUGUGAGUUGCGAAAUGGCUUGAUAAAUUUCUUGUGUGUUGAGGUUCCGCGUAGUGAUGGUAUUAUGUGAGUAGGAUGGAUCUUGAGAUUCAGGUCAUAUAUCGCACUUCAGUUAUGCUUGAGUUUUGUAGCUUAUGGCACUAUCUGUCUCCCUGGGGAUGGUAUUAUGCAAUUAGCGUGCUUGUGGCCGAUAUUCGUUAUUUUGUAGUAAUAAGCGAUUUUGCUCGGUGUGUAUCUUCUUAUAUGAAUUUUAUGUAUGGAUCGGGUGGCAUACCGCCAUAGGUAUGUUGUUUGGAUCGGGUUGCACACCGCGACAAUAUGAUGUUUAGUACAGUUCCCUAUAUAUAUUUUUGUGUGUUUUGUUUCCCAUUUUCUGAGGAAAGUUCAUAUUAGUUGCGUGAGUUGAGUAGUCCCUUCCAGGGUCCGUUUUCAUUAUGUAUCACGUUCGAGCUUGUGGCCUAUUGGCACGUUGUGGCAUCAUAUGGGACUUUUGAUCAUGAUCGGGGUGGCUUAUUGCCUGAGCAGUUUGUAUUGGGUGAGACAUGAUUAUUGGAUCUAGGAUCAGUGCAGUCAGAUUAUAUGAAGUAUAUUAAAGAGCAAAGAUCAUUAUUUGGUUCAGAAUGGGAUAAUGGUUCUUGUCAGAAGUAAAGACUCAAUGAUUUGUUGACUCGGCAGUUGGUUAUGAAUUUUUAUACAUCUCUUUCGUUGUGGCAGUAUCGCGAGAGUUGGAACAAGACUUAUAUAUAACAUGAGCUGCAUUGUGAGCAUCAGAUUCGGGAAAUGUCGGUUAUUAUGAUCAGAGAAUGUUAUAAUGGUCCUAUGAAUGAUGUGGUGCAUGGUGAGAAUUCAGCAAAGACAGGUAGUCAUGUUCGGGUACCUCGUGUAGUGAUUGAUACGGUUUUCAUAUAUUGGAAGCAGGCCUGGUAGAGAAUUUUGGAUGUUGGAAUUGGGCUCUAAGAUUAUUUGCUUGAAUAAAAGGGAAUAUCUUCAGAAUUAAUCGAGCUAAUAUGCUCAACUGGGUUGUAGUAGCACGGGUAGGUGCACGAGGUAUUAAACAAUGAUUUCAGACUACUUCGGUAUAGUUCUCAACACGUUCGAGGACGAAUGUAUGUUUAAGUGGGAGAGAAUGUAAUGACCAGAUCGGUCGUUUUAAGCUCUGGCGCGUCGUUUAGUAGUUUGAGGCCAUCAGCAGCUUCACUUUAGGUAUUAUGACUUGUACGCAUGGUCGGAAUUGAAUUUCGGGAAGUUGGGAGUUUAUUCGAAAAGAAAAUUCUCAUUUCGGAAGCUUCAAGUUGAAAGAAUUGACUAAAAUUAGAUUUUUGAGAAAACGACCUCGGAAUCGAGAUUCGAAGGUUCUAGCAGGUUCGUAUGAUGAUUUUGGACUUGGACGUAUGUCCGGAUCGGGUUUUGGAAGACCCGGAAACAUUUUGGCAUUUAUUGUGGAAGUUAGCAUUUUUAGAAGAAUUUAAUAAGUUUGGGUUGAAGUAUAUUUCAGUGUUAUCAAUGUCCGUUUGGGAUUCCGAGUCUGGGACUACUCCGUAUGGUGAUUCUGGUGUUGGGAGCGCGAUCGAAAGUGAAUUCGGAGGUCCGUGGGUCAUUUUGGAGUCAUUUGGCUAAAGAUAUAAAUUUGAAGGUAUUUGAGAAGUUUGACAGGGAGUGGACUUUUUGAUAUCGGGGUCGGAUUCCAAUUGUGGAAGUUGGAGUAGGUCCGUAAUGUCGAAUGUGACUUGUGUGCAAAAUUUAAUGUCAAUCAGACGUGAUUUGAUAUAUUUCAGCAUCGAAUGUAGAAAUUGGAAUUUCUUAGUUUCAUUAGACUCGAAUUGAGGUGUGAUUCGUGUUUUUAGCGUUGUUUGAUGUGAUUUGAGGCCUUUUCUAAGUACGUGACACGUUUUGAGACUUGUUGGUAUGUUCGGAUGGGGUCCCGAGGGGAUCGGGUGAGUUUCGAGGCGGUUUCAGACCAUUUCUAGGCCAUUUGUAGCUACUGGUUUUUGGCUACAACAAUAUGCUAUGCGAUCGCGGGGAAUUGGUCGCGAUCGCGAUGAGUAAAGUGGGAGAAAAUGGCCAGUUAUCCGCGAUCGCGGAAGGCCUUUCACGAUCGCGUUGAGGAAAGUUUUUGCCACACUGACCCUUCUUUGGAAGCUUUUAUAUCGCAAUCUAUAUGGAAUUUGGAGAUGAUCCAAAAUAGAAAGUUGUAGUCCUUGCAGUCUAGUUUUCAAAAGGUUAAACCAUUUGCAAUUUGGAGUUUUGUACAAAAAGUUAUGGCAAUUAUACUAGAGACUAUAGAGGAAGAGCUGGGCAUUUGUUCUUCGCGAUCGCGAUGCCUUUUCCGCGAUCGCGAAGGGCAAAUUUUGGACUGAGAAAUGUUGUGCUUCACGAUUGCGAAGCAUUUUCCGCAAUCGCGAAGAGUAAAUACCUGGGCAGAAGCUAUAUUUCGAGGUUUCAGCCAUUUUUAACAUAUUUGGAGCUAUGAAGCUCGGAUUGAAGCAAUUUUUUAGGCGAUUUUCACCAUAUGGAUUGGGAUAAGUGUUUUAUAUCCAAAAGUAAGUAUACUUCAUGAUUCUAUGGUUAUAUUCAUCAUUUAUUUCAGAUUUAAAUGGAAGAAAUCGAGAUUUUUGCAAAACUUUUCAAGAACGAAAAUUCAAGAUUUGGAGGUCAAGUUGUUAUAGGAAUUUGAUAAAAUUGGUAUGGUUGAACUCGUAUAGGAAUGGGUUGUCAGAUUUUGUGAGUUUUUUUCGGAAUCGGGGCAUGUGGGCCUGAGGGCGAUUUUGUCAACUUUUCGAACGGUGUUAGGAAUUUAUCUAAAUUGAAUUGUUAUGAGUAUUAGAGCAUGUGUUUAUGGAUUUUCUCACUUAUUGGAUAGUUUUAGAGCGUUGUUCAUCGAUUUGAGUCGUCGGAAGGGCUUGGAAGCCGAUUUUGGAACUUCGGAGCGAGAUGAGUCUCCUUUCUAACCUUGUAAGAGGGAAUUGUCCCCCUAGGUGAAUUUAUUGGAUUUGUGCUCCUAUUUGUGGGGGCUAUAUACGCACGAGGUGACGAGAGUCCGUGCGUAGCUACUAUUAUAUUUAAGUUCGGGUAGUCUAGGACCCAAAAGCAUGCUAUACUCAGAAUAUUUGUAAUUGUAUUGACAGUUUGAAUUGCUUAAAUCAUAUCGAAUUAGUAAAUGAAUUUCUAAAAAGAUUAAACUUUAUUUUCUUGAAUUGUUAAAAGAGAAUUGGCUUUUCUUUGGAUAAUUGUUCCCUGAUGAAUUCUUGAUUAACUGCUUGUUGUGUUUAUUUAUAUUUGACCGCGUCGCAUGUAUGAUUCACGAGCGGGGUAAUAGAUGCAUCUAUGGUUCGCGUCAUUCGACCCUCUGGCAGUGCACAAUUUAAAUAUUGUUGGAUCGGGUCGUACGACCUAGGCAUGAUUUGCGCAUGCUUGUAUUGAUUGCCUUGAUAUUUAUAGAUAUUGAUAUUUGCUCUCCCUGACUAGAGAUAAAUUGAUAAUUAAUAGAUUAUGAAUUCGGAGACUUUUUAAUAUAAAAAGGAACGUUUACCUGUUUCGUGACUUAUUUGAAUUUACUAUCGUUCUUAAUAAAUCCAUGAUUAUUUGUAUUAAUAACAUAUUACUAUUGGACCACUAGUAAGUGUCAAAGUCAACCUCUCGUCUCUACUUCUUCGAGAUUAGACGGGAUACCCACUGGGUACACGUUGUUUUCGUACUCAUACUGCACUUGCUGUGCAUUUUUGUUGCACAGGUUCUUGUGUGGUUAGUGGCCUAGUGGCAUAGCAGCAUGGUUGAUAUAGAGACUUAGGUGAGCUGCAUUUGUCGAGACGACCCGCAGCUAGCAAAGUUCCUUCAGAGUAGUGUAGUGUACUUUCAUUUCUGUCCACUUUGUAUUCCGGACAGUUACUGUAUUUUAUUUUAUUCCUAGUAGAUGCUCAUGCACUUGUGACACCGGGUUCUGGGAUGAUUAUUGGGUAUCUUGUAUUUACGUCUAAACAUUUUUUAUUUACAUUGUAAAGAUUAUCUUUAACUAGUAAAAUUGAAGGAAAAAUCAUAGUUUGUAAAAUUAUUAAAACGAGAAUUUAAUUAAAUAUGUUGGUUGGCUUGCCUGACAACAGUGUCCGGUGCCAUCACGACCCUUAGUGGCUUUUGGGUCGUGACAUUGAUGGGGGUUCAAGCCUCAAUAUUCGUCUGUUGGAUACUCUGAAAAGACUGGGCAAAGGUUUCCAUGAGAUACGGGCAGGAAGCAUGAAUGUAAAAGCCUUCGAUGGGUCUCAAAGGGCCACGAUUGGGGAGUUUAAUCUUUGUCUGUAGAUGGGGCCAACUUGGUUCGACGUUGAAUUCCAAGUUCUUGACAUAUCAGCUUCAUACAAUCUUCUAUUGGGCCGACCAUGGAUACAUGCUGCUAGGGUUGUGGCUUCCACACUACACCAAGCUGUGAAAUUCGAAUGGAACCAUUAGGAGGUGAUCAUUCACGGGAACGGAAGUAACCUCAUCUACACCAGUCAAACCAUCCCGGUCAUCGGGAAUAGAAGAAGACUGGGAGGGGAAACCUAUCAUCACAUCGGACGUGUCAAUGCCAUUGAGAAAGACAAAUGGUGGAGUAACAAAAUAGAAAGCAUACUGACAUGGUCUGGGUAUGAACCCAGCAAAGGGCAUGGGAAGAAUCUCCAGUAUGUUACCAAACCAAUACAGCUGAAACGGCAUGGUACUACCUUCAGGCUCGGAUACCAGUAUACAUGGCAAGAGUAUGAUGAUUGGUCGCCUCCAUGGUGUUGGAAUUAUUACCCUCUCGAGCAACCAGUGCCACAUUUGGGUCAAACUUUUCACCAAGCCGAUACAAUAUGGGGAACUGUAGAAGAAGAAACAUUAGCUGGGCUGAGGAAUCUAUUCCUGGAGGAUAGGGACAUAGAUUGCAGUGCAAUAAUUUAGAAGGAGGAGGAAGAAGGCCUCACUAUUCAGACUAUGGAGAAGGGAGUUGUUCUCAGGAACUGGACUGCUACACCAUCUCGGGCGCGCCGAGUCCCUGGGUAGCUUGGCAUAUUUUAUUUCUCUAGCCAUUCUAGGCAUCUAAGAUUUUCAGUAAUUUUGUUUUAAAGACUUACUUGUUUCAAAAUAAAUGCUCGAUUCAUCGAGUCGUACUUGUUUGGAUGUUUCAAUUUUAAUCAAAUGCAUUGCUCUUAUUUAUUCAUUAUUAUCUUCCACACUUUUUCUUUCUACAACAUUAUUAUUACUUUUCCUGAUGAACCGGUGACUGUGACAUGUAAUGAGGCCACGCAAUAUAAGGAUAAUGAUUCGGACAAAGAAGAUGAAAUACCGGAGGAGGUUGUCAGGGAGCUUGAAAACUUCGAGAAUAAGCCUAAGUCCAACCUGGACGAAACCGAAGCAGUAAAUUUAGGGGACGCCGAGACCGUCAAGGAGACUCGCAUCAGCAUUCACUUAUCACCGAUAGAGAAAUAGGAGUACAAUCAUUUCUUAAAGGAGUAUGAGGACAUUUUCGCAUGGUCAUAUGAUGACAUGACCGGUUUGAGCACGUCCAUAGUGGCUCACAAGUUGCCUACCAAUCCCAUGUGCCCGCCGGUGAAGCAGAAACUCAGAAAAUUCAAACCAGAUAUGAGCCUCAAAAUCAAAGAGGAAGUUACUAAGUAGAUCAAAGCCAAAGUCCUCAGGGUGGUUGAGUACCCAACCUGGUUAGACAACAUUGUGCGAGUUCCGAAGAAAGAUGGAAAAGUCAAAGUAUGUGUUGACUAUCGAGACUUAAACAGAGCAAGUCCCAAGGAUGACUUUCCACUGCCAAAUAUACACAUCCUGAUCAACAAUUGCGCUAAGCAUGAACUCCAAUCCUUUGUAGUUUUAUUCGCGGGUUAUCACCAGAUCUGGAUGGACGAAAAAGAUGCAGAGAAAAUAGCUUUUAUUACAUUAUGGGGAGUAUACUGCUACAAGAUAAUGCCAUUUGGUCUAAAGAAUGCUGGGUCUACUUACAUGAGGGCCAGGACAACUAUAUUACAUGAUAUGAUACACAAAGAAAUAGAGGUGUAUGUGGACGAUGUCAUUAUCAAAUCCAAGAGGGCCGCGGAUAACAUAGCGGACUCUUUGAAAGGUUAAGGAGGUACAACUUGAAACUGAACCCCGCAAAGUGUGCAUUCGGGGUUCCCACAGAAAAGUUACUGGGAUUCAUCGUCAGUCGUCGAGGGAUCAAGCUGGACCCGUCUAAUGUUAAGGCUAUUGAGGAGUUACCGCCGCAUAGGAGCAAAAAGGAUGUGAUGAGCUUCCUAGGACGUCUCAACUAUAUCAGUCGCUUCAUAGCAUAGUCCACAGUUAUAUGUGAACCCAUAUUCAAAAUGCUGAGGAAAGAUGCCGAAACAAGCUGGACCGAGGAUUGUCAGAAAGCUUUUGACAAAAUCAAGAAGUAUCUGUCCACACCACUAGUCUUGGCCCUGCCAAAAUCGGGACGACCUUUGUUACUCUAUCUUUCUAUAUUGGAUGGAACUUUCAGAUGUGUUUUGGGACAAUACGACGAGACAGGGAGAAAGGAGCAAGUUAUAUACUACAUGAGUAAGAAAUUCACACCUUAUGAAGCAUGAUACUCUCUGCAGGAACGCACCUACUGUGCUUUGACCUGGACGGCCCAGAAAUUGAGGCAUUACUUCUGUGCCUAUACCACAUACCUCAUAUCCAAGAUGGACCCUCUAAAGGACAUCUUUCAGAAGCCCAUGCCGACAUGGAAGCUAGCCAAAUGGCAGAUACUAUUAAGUGAGUUCGACAUCAUCUAUGUAACUCAAAAGGAGAUCAAAGGACAAGCAUUGACAGACCAUCUUGCUGAAAAUCUUGUUGGAAGAGAAUACAAACCCUUGAAAACGUAUUUUCCUGAUGAAGAGGUGUCAUUCGUAGGAGAGGACAUUACCGAAGCGUACGACGGUUGGAGGAUGUUCUUUGAUAGAGCUGCGAAUUUCAAAAGAGUGGGCAUUGGAGCGGUUUUGGUAUCAGAAACAGGUCAACAUUACCUGGUAUUUGCUAAACUCAAAUUUCCCUACACCAAUAACAUGGCAGAGUAUGAAGCCUGUAUACUAGGGCUCAACAUAGCGAUCGACAUGAAUAUUCAGGAGCUGCUGGUAAUAGGUGAUUUAGAUUUGCUUGUGCACCAGGAGCAAGGAAAGUGGGCCACUAAAAAUUCCAAGAUAUUGCCAUAUUUGCACCAUGUACAGGAAUUGAGAAAGAGGUUCACAAAGAUAGAUUUUCGGCAUGUGCCCAGAAUUCAGAAUGAGUUCGCAGAUGCAUUGGCCACCUUGUCAUCUAUGAUACAGUAGCUAGAUAAGAAUUUCAUUGAUCCCAUCCCAGUGAAAGUUCAUAAUCAGCCGGCAUAUUGUGCCCAUAUCGAAGAGGAGACGGAGGAAAAACCUUGGUUUCACGACAUCAAAGAUUAUUUGGCUGAGGGAGAAUAUUCAGAGCAUGCGAACAAUACUCACAAACACACACUUCGGAGAUUGUUCAAUCAUUUCCUCCACAGUAGAGGAAACUUGUACAGAAGAACCCCUGAUUUGGGAUUGCUAAGAUGUGUCGACGCAAAAGAGGCUUCUAAGAUACUCGAAGAGAUACAUGUUGGGACCUGCGGCCUGCAUAUGAAUGGUUUCAUCUUGCACAAGAAGAUACUUAGGGCCGGUUACUUUUGGAUGACUAUGGAGAUAGAUUGUGUCCAGUAUGUCCGCAAAUGCUACCAAUGUCAAGUGCAUGCCGAUAGGAUAAAAGAGCCGCCAAAUGAACUCAAUGCCAUAAGCUCACCUUGUCCAUUCGCCGCCUGGGGAACGGAUGUCAUCGGUCCUAUCGAGCCCACUGCUGGGCACAUGUUUAUUCUAGUAGCCAUUGACUACUUCACAAAAUGGGUAGAGGCCGCAUCUUACAAACCUGUAACCAAGAAAGUUGUCGCGGACUUUGUCAAGGACCGUAUUGUUUGCCGAUUCGGAGUUCUCGAGUCCAUUGUUACUGAUAAUGCCGCCAAUCUUAACAGUGAUCUGAUGAAAACCAUGUGUGAAACUUUCAAAAUCAAGUACAAAAAUUCCACAACCUAUAGACCUCAGAUGAAUGGAGUCGUAGAAGCCGCCAACAAAAACAUCAAAAAGAUAGUAAGAAAGAUGGUAGAAAACCACAAAAAAUGGCACGAGAAACUACCCUUUGCUUUGUUAGGAUACUGCACUACUGUUCGCAUAUCAACCAGGGUAACUCCUUACAUACUGGUUUAUGGUACCGAAGCUGGUAUCCUACCGAGGUAGAGAUUCCUUCUUUAAGGAUCAAACGGGAAGCCGAGCUCAGCGAUGUAGAAUGGAUAAGGAGCCGCUAUGAGCAAUUGGCCCUUAUAGAUGGGAAAAGAAUGAACGUGGUAUGUCACAGUCAGCUUUAUCAGAACAGAAUGUCCAGAGCUUUCAACGAAAGGGUCAAACCAAGACAGUUCGCACCAGGACAGCUGGUGCUGAAAAAGAUCUUCCCGCAUCAAGAUGAAGCCAAAGAGAAAUUCUCUCCCAACUGGCAAAGUCCCUACAUGGUUCACAGGAUGCUAACAGGAGGAGCACUCAUACUUGCAGAAAUCGACGGAGAAAUUUGGCCAAAACCAAUCAAUUCAGACGCAGUCAAAAGAUACUAUGCUUAGAGUUUUCGCAUUCACAUGAUGUAAUUGAACUAUGCUUGACCUGAUUCCCAUUUCUGAGGGGAUACGUAGGAAGCCCUGUGGGUUCGGUCAUAUCAUAAUUGUGAUGACCCAAAAAGGUUAUCACUUGUUUUAGAAAUAAAUUUUGUAUUCUGAGGCCUUAAAAACUUAUUUUGUCUCAGCUCAAUUUGCGUGCGCAGUCCGUGCGCAUAGUCGAAAAGCCAUUUUGUGAAAAUAUGAGAAAUAGGAAUUUCUAGAGUUAAAAAUAUUUAUUAUGAUUGACUUUGGUCAAAAUUUUCAGCAAACAGACCCGGAUCUAUGUUCCAACAAUCCUGGGAGGUCCGCAGUAAAAUAUGGGACUUGGGCGUAUGCCCGAAAAUGAAUUUUGAGGUCCCAAACCUUAGAAAUCAAUUUUUGAAAGAAAUUAUUUUGCUAAAUUAUUUAUGAAAUAAAGAAAAGAAUUAAUGUUUGAAACCAUUGGUAUCAGGCCCGUAUUUUGGUUCCGGAGCCCGGUACAAAGUUUUUAAAGUAUUCAAAUGAUAAUGGUAGUGACACAUAAUUCCUGACCCAUUUUUGGGUCUUUCAGUUGUGUUAGUACUAGUCGACUCAGUUCUGGCUGGCCCUUUUCCAAUUGACUUGUAAGUUGUCUGGUUUGACCUGAUAGAAUUGUGAUUGGCGGAUUUGUGCAUGCCAUUGAGUUUCAUUUGCAAUUCCUCAAAACUUCUUAUUCGAUUUCACAUACUUCAUGUUUGAGUUUCCAGGCUUUUACUUCUUUGUUGAGUCUCUUUAGCAUCCAUCAUUUUUUGAGACUCUUUCGAACUAAGAUCAAGAAUAUCCUGCAAUUCAUUACAUCUUUCACAAUUAUAAGACCUUACCUCGCUUGCUUCACCUCGAGCCAUGAAGCGGUUUUCAUUGUUAUCUUUGCAUUCAUCGUCUGAAAUAUCCUCGUCUGUCCAACAUCCUGAAAGUUUGUUCAUAUCAUUUUCCAGAAUUGUCAUGAAGCAAAGAUUUGCUACUUCUUCGUGUUCUGAACUGUCUUCAUCACUCCAGCUUCCAAAUGAUUUGUUUUUGUUGAAACCUCUGGAGAUUUUUCCUUUUAGAUCUGGACAUUUAGCUUGAAUAUGUCCAAAUCUUCCACACUCAUAGCAUUUUACAUCACUCUUAUCUUGUUCAUUGUAUUGCCUGGUUCACCUAGGUGGAAUCCUUCCUCUUCUCAUGUUCCUUAUUCUUCUCAUUAAGCCAUCCAUGUUUCUUGACAUCAUAGUAAUUUCUUCUUAGAGAGCUUUAGGAUCAUCAUUGAUAUCAUUCUCAGUUAUCUCAGUUGUGGCCUUGAACGCAACUGUUUUCUUCUUUUCUUCUUGGUUUGUUUUCUUGAGAUGCAUCUUUUCGAAGGCUAUGAGUUCUCCACGAAGUUCAUCAUAAGAUAAUUUAUUCAGAUCCUAUGAUUCAAGUGUGACUACUUUAGUUUGCCAAGUGGUUGGUAAACUUCUAAGAAUCUUUCUAACUUGAUCACCGCUUGAGUAUGGUUUGCCGAAAGCUUUUAAGUUGCUAAUGGUUUUACUGAAUCUGGCAAACAUUUCCUCAAUGGAUUCUCCUUCUUUCAUCUGGAAGAGUUCAUAAUCGUGAACCAACAUGUUGAUAUGUGUUUCCUUCACUUUGAUGGUUCCUUCGUAUGUAACUUUAAGCUUAUCCCAUAUUUCUUUGGUUGUAUCACAGCUAGAGAUUUUCUCAUAUUCUUCACCACUUAUAGAAUUGUAGAGCAAAUUUCUUGCUUUGUUGUUGACUUGCACAACUGCCAUUUGCUCAUCUGUAUAUGAAUCUAUAUCUUCAGGAUCAGCAAGAGGUUAAGCAGCAGUCGAUAGAGGAUAAUUUCCCUUUUUGAUGACUCUCCACAAUUUAACAUCAUAUGCCUUAGCAUAUAUUUCCAUACGUACUUUCCACUGGGAGAAAUACUGUCCAUUGAAGUAAAGUGGCCUUACUUGGGAAGUACCUUCUUGAAAAAGUGUUCAUAUGAUAACUUGAUUAGCCAUGAUCUUUUCUCACAAGCUGUGAAGAAAAAAGAAAAGUGUGAGCCUUGCUCUGAUACCAAUUGAAAGUACAAGAGGAGGUGAAUUGUUUAUUUUUAAACUUAAUAGCUAGUAGUUGACUAGUUUUACGAUUAGUAGACUGGAUGUAAGAACUUGAUACUAGAAAAGACAGAAAUUAAGAUGCAAAAUUUAAAUGAAGAAUUAAAGACACCAAAGUUUUUAUACUGGUUCGGAUUCAAUGUUGAUGGGUUUUCAAUGUCUUUGCCUUAUGCUUCUUAUUUUUUGAUUAUCUAACAAACUUAUUGUUAAGAACCAGAUAGAGAACCCGACUCACUUGGUACACAUCUUAAAUGAACAAAGUCCAUUCUGAUCUCCAGCAAAUGAUCUACUACAAAGAGGAACACAACAUGGACCUGAUCCCUUGGUGUUCUCUGACAGAAGUACAAGUCAACAACAGUUGGAACACAAAUGCAGAAAGUGAUUGUAUGCAGAAAGUAAUUGUCUGCAUAUUGUACACGCGAUAGUGUAGCAGAUAGUGCGGAAGUCACUUCUCAUUGGGAAGAAGAGUGUAUCAAGAAUUGACAUCACCAUUGUGAUGUCUUUUGUAGUAUAACAACCUGGUGCAAGGCACAAUAUAUUUACUUGAGCAUUUAGUGAUAUUCUCUCAAGCAGAAAAGUGUUCAUCCAGCAUUGCAGUUACAAGUGUGUCAAGAACAAGAAGACAACUCCACUAAAGGAUCAGUUUCACAAUGAGUCUAUGAGUAUCCAUAGUUGAGUUGUAAACUUGUUAUUUAUUCUUAAUUGUAACUCCUAUCUUGCUUUCCUAGAAGCUGUGUUUUAGGAAACCUAAAAAAUCUGUAAACUCUCUGAAUUUAUAUUGUGACUAGGUUUAGUCAUAAGUUAAAGUCUUUGUAACUAGAGAGUGACAAAGUGGCUUGUGGUAAAAGUAUCACAAGUUAGUUAAGUUGAAAUCUUUGUAAUAGAGUCAUUACAAAGUCGCUUGUAAUAGUUAGAUUACAAGUUAGUGAAGUUGAAAGCCUACAAGUGUAGGUCGUGAUUUUUGUCCCCUUGAGUAGUAUUUUUCCAUAUAAAACUCAUGUGUCUCUUUUACUUAUCGCUUAAUAAGUAUUCUCAGCAAAAACUCAUAGAGGAUCAGGUGCUCUAUAGUUUGGUGGACUCAUAUAAGCUAUCAAUUGGUAUGAGAGCGGGUUCUUUCUAAAAGGUUAACACCUAGAAAGGAUCUCAAUGGCUGCUCCACCCAACUUUGAGGAAGGACAAUCAAACUACAAACCUCCAAGAUUAAAUGGUCAGUACUACGGCUGGUGGAAGACUCAUAUGCAUGAUUUUAUAAUGGUCGAAGAUUCAGAACUAUGGGAUAUCAUCUGUGAUGGUCUACAUGUUCCUAUGAAGAAGCUUGGAGAAACUGGACCAAUGGUGCCGAAAAACAGAAAGGAGUACAGUGAUAUUGAUAGAAAAGUCAUAGAAAAGAACUAUCGCGCCAAGAAAAUCUUGGUAUGUGGUAUAGGACCUGAUGAGUAAAACAGAGUCUCGGCUUGUGAUUCUGCCAAAGAAAUAUAGGAAACAUUGCAAACCUCACACGAAGGAACUACUCAGGUUAAGCAGUCCAAGAUUGACAUGCUCACCACUGAGUAUGAACUCUUUAGGAUGAAGGAUGAUGAGUCUAUACGGGAUAUGCACACUAGAUUCACAUCCACCAUAAAUGAGCUUCAUUCACUUGGAGAUGUUAUUCCCAAAAACAAGCUUGUAAGGAAAAUUCUCAGUGUUCUACCUGGUUCUUGGGAGAGUAAGGUAAAUGUCAUCACUGAAGCUAAAGAUCUACCAACUCUAACCAUAGAUGAGCUGAUUGGAAAUCUGAAGACAUACGAGAUGAAAAGAAAGAAAGACAGUGAAAGGAGAGAACCAAAGAAGGAAAAGAACCUGGUACUCAAGGUUGAAAAUAGUGACUCAAGUGAAGAAGAUAGUGAUAUGGCCUAUCUUACUAAAAGGUUUCAAAAGAUGGUUUGAAGAAAUGGUGGUAUAUCAAAGAGAGGCAGUUCAAGUAAGGCUAGGAACAUUGAUCACUAUCACAUGUGCGGAAAGCUGGGGUAUUUCAUCAAAGACUGUCCACUUCUGAAACAGGAGCAAUACAAAUAAAACCCUAACAAAGUAGUAAAAAGGAACACGGCUCCAGAAAAAUGAUUCAGUCGAAAAAGUGCAGCUGAAAAUAUUGCGAAACAAGCUCUUGCUCCUUGGAGAGACUCCUCUAGUGAAUCAGAAAGGGAACCAGAUGCAGAAAACAACUCCAUGAUGCCAGUGGAAACUGAAGCAAUGAAAUAUGACUCACUGUUCGCGCUGAUGGCUCAGUUUGACGAUGAUGAAGAGGAUGAAAAUGAUGAGGUAAAUUUCAGGGACGUUUAGAGAAAUCUGAAAUCUUACUCUUCUAAGAAGUUAAAAUCUUUAGCAAAUAUUCUAAUUGAUGCAUAUUAUAGCCUUGAUAAUGAUAAGGAAACUCUAACCAUAGAACUAGGAGAAGCUGAACAAUCUAGAGAUGAUCUGGUGGUAUUUGUAGUGGACCUAAAUGAGACCAUAGCUAAUCAUGAAAAGGAAAAGAAAGUUUUGAAUGAAAAAUAAAUAGUAUAAAAAAUGAGAGAGAUGAGCUUUAGGUAGUGGUAGUUGAUUUGAAGGAAACCAUAGAAGGUCUUAGCAAUGAGAAACACACUCUAGAAUAUAAAAUUGUAGCUACUGAUCAAGAGAGGGAUGGCUUUUGGUAAUAAUCACUGACCUAGAGAAAACUAUUGAGGGACUCAAUUCAGAACAUAGGACUGUGAGUCUUGGGGAAGGGAAAGAAGUAGCUAGUGAGACACGCAUCAAGCCUGAGAAGGAAUUAAAUGAUGUGAAAACUAGUCUAUGUGGUGACUUGAGAAAAAUAGACAACUUAAAGCUAAAUUGGAGAGAAAAAAAAUUGAUCUUGAGAAAUCUUUGAAGUGGACCUGGUCGUUAGAUGUUGUCACUGCCAUAUACUUCAACAAUAGUGGAAACAGGCAAUGAAUCGGGUUCCAAAAGGAGAAAACUCCCUACAACCCUCAUAGCAAGUACGUCACUGUGGGAACAAUGAGCACUUCAAAGAAAACUGUCAGGCUAGGGUUCAAUCUGUUCAGAAAAAUAAAGUGUUUACUGAAAAAGUGACUACUAAAAAGGGACCAGGUACCGCUCGCAAGAAACGAAUAUUGCCUGCAUGGACUAGAAAAGCUCUCAUCUAUCCCUUUUCUCAUAACAAGGGACCCAAACUAGUUUGGGUUCCUAAAUCUAACCCAUGAUUUAUAUGUGCAGGGAACAGUGAGAAGAAGUGCACUGCAAUGGUUCACGAACAGUGGAUGCUAAAAACAUCAUGGACUGUCUCUCGCUAAAAGCCCUGCAGAAAAGAGAAUGUAUCAUGUAUAUGUAUAAAAAAAAGGAAAAGGAAAGGGGGAUACAUUCUCAAUGUUGAAAAGAUGGAAAGUAUGUGUCACACUCAAUUGACAAUAUGUGCUGUCACACCUCCUUUUUACCAUCCGAGGUGGUAUAUAAGGGAGUUUUUCAAUUAAAGUGACAUUAUUCGAAAUUGGAUUAUUUUAUUUAAUUUCAGAGUCGCCACUUGGAAUAGUUUGUUUGGUGUCUCAAGUCACCAGUUUAUUUUAAAUCCCAAAUUGAGGAGAAUUUUGACUUUAUUUAAAAGUUUGCGAAACCAAAAAUUCUAGAUAAGAAAUUCUGUUAACCCGGAAGAAGGUGUUAAGCAUUCCCGGGUUACGUGGUUUGAGCACAGUCACUUAAACUAUUAAUAAUUGGCUUAUUAUCUGAUUUACUACAUGUUUUAAACAUAUUCUGCAUUUUUAACUUUAUUACUGCUUUUUAAUUAUUUUAACCGCUUUUAGGAUUUAUGGAAUUAUUUCUUGAACAAGUUACGAUUGUCGUGCACUUGCCAUUUUGGAACACACCGCAAACCAUGCUACAUGAAAUGCACCCGCGAUCCAUGACAUGUUUAUUUUAUUAUUGUUCGAAGUUGUUAUGAUCAAGUCACAUGAAAUGCACACCCGAAUUUGGGAAUUAGGUGCCAUAACUAUGUCACAGGAACCGUACCCAUAAUCACAAUGAUUUAUUAAUUAAUCGUGCCUAAAGCAAGUUACGAUGUUCAAGUAAUUCUAUUGGAUUUAAAAUUAUAGUAAGGCCAAGAGUUUAACAUAUGACAAAUAAUUCAAGAGUAAUAGCACAUAAAUUUUCAGAAAGCACUGAAAUAUAAAUCUUACUUAUAUAUACAUUAUCCGAAUUCUAGCCAAAUAUGAAACUAUAGUGGCUCUAAUCUCAACAACACAAAACUUCAUUAUCCGAAUUCUAGCCAUAGCAAAGUUUCUUAAUUUUGGACGAGCUUCAUAAACAUCAACUACGGUUUAUAUUUCAACUAAAGAAAUUGAAUUUCAGUCACUAAUACGCAAUUCUUGAAGAAAAUAAAAUAACGUUCAAAAGGGACUAUGUGAAUCUGCAAAAAGAGAAAAAAACAUUGCUAAUAAUUUAGAACACGUCCCAAUUAAAAUUUAUGAUUUAGAGAAUCGGGAUGUCAACAAAAUCAAGAAAAAAUACAAAAAAUUCAGAGAUUCAAUCAAAAUAGAAUAUCCAACAGUUAUAUAUCCCUUUUAUCAAAUCUAGGCUUGUGAAACUAACUAAAUUUUACUUAUACAAGCAAUUGUAAAACUCCUCACUUCAAAUUAUCCUUUCAACCCACAUGGAUAAGCAGAACUUUCUUAUUAAUAAUAUGAAAGGAGCACUGAGCACUUGACCUUAAAAAAAUUAACAGUGAUGAGAAAUAUACAUCCAGCUUAAUUAUUCAGUUUAAGCUAAACCAACCUGCAACUAGUAUCAAUCGAAAUUAGUUUAACCCUGUGAGAUCGAUUUUAACACGAGCCAUUAUUUUAGGAGAUGAAUCACUGUCAAACAUAAGCGUUUAACUCAUUUAAAAAUCUACUGAACAGUUUGAAUGUUCAAUGAAACAUGUUCACGGCAUCAGACAUUAAUCAUGAAAUGGAAUUUCAAGCAGAUUUAGAUAUUAACAGGCUGGAUCUAAGAAAACAACCACAAACUUGACAUGAACAAAUCAGAUUUCAUUCAUAAACAUCAAAAUAAAGGAUAACAGAUGAGUGUUCACAUACCUAUAACAGAAAAAUAGAUAACAACGACCAAAUAAAGGUUUGAAAAUGCAGGGAAUAAGCUCAACAGCACAUGAACAUCAGACUUGAUUCCAAAUUCCGAUUAAAACAGGUUGGAACCCCAUUUUUAGCUUGCGAAAUUCCCGGAUUUGAGAAUUAUAGAAAAGAGGAAAAGGUUUUCUUCUGUAUCGGUGUGUGUCUCUUUGAUGAAAUUGGACAAUGGUCUUAUUUUUAUUUUUAUUUUUUGAUGACUUCUUUUGCUUUCGAAUUUUGGUUAGCAGGAGAUGUCCGUUGUUUUCUUCUGCUUGGGAGGGGAUCUCUUCUUCUGUGUUGUGUAAGAAUGAAAAAAGAAGAAAGAAGAUGGAGGAGGGGUCUGCUUAGAGCUGAUGGAAACGGCGCUAGGUUGGGG
rnacentral:lncRNA from 1 species